UACGAAGGGGGCUAGCGUUGUUCGGAAUCACUGGGCGUAAAGCGCGCGUAGGCGGAUCUGCAAGUCGGGGGUGAAAUCCCGAGGCUCAACCUCGGAACUGCCUUCGAUACUGCGGGUCUCGAGUCCGGGAGAGGUGAGUGGAAUUCCUAGUGUAGAGGUGAAAUUCGUAGAUAUUAGGAAGAACACCAGUGGCGAAGGCGGCUCACUGGCCCGGUACUG
rnacentral:rRNA from 1 species